rnacentral:rRNA from 1 species
UACGUAGGUGGCAAGCGUUGUCCGGAAUUAUUGGGCGUAAAGCGCGCGCAGGCGGUUUCUUAAGUCUGAUGUGAAAGCCCACGGCUCAACCGUGGAGGGUCAUUGGAAACUGGGAAACUUGAGUACAGAAGAGGAGAGUGGAAUUCCACGUGUAGCGGUGAAAUGCGUAGAUAUGUGGAGGAACACCAGUGGCGAAGGCGACUCUCUGGUCUGUAACUGACGCUGAGGCGCGAAAGCGUGGGGAGCGAACAGG